GCCAUCUUCCCUCCCCAUUAAGGAGACAGCUGUCUUUGCGGGCAUCCAGGAGACUGGACAGAGAGAAGACAAAAAAUAAACAUCACUGAGUGCCAGCCUUCAGGACUAAGGCUCAGAAAUGUGAAAUAGUCCGGCUGGAUUGGAACAGCAAACCCUCUCUGCCUGCCUCUGGCCUCUUCUUGCCCCCUUGGAUUGAAGAAUUGGCUCAGGGUGCUGCCUCUGACAUAGGUUGCAAAGGGUGAUUCUGCCCCAUGCCAAACCCUUUCGCGAUGAUUGUCUCAUGUGACGCUUACAAUUCUGGGAGCCAGGCAGGACAGAUAGAGUGAUCAUCUCCAUUUUAUGGAUGAGGAAAUUGAUCCCCAAGAGUUGAAGUGACUUGCCCAAGGACAUGGUGAGUAAGGAGUCUGGACUUCCCGCAG
rnacentral:lncRNA from 1 species